CAUGCGGGCCAUGUUAGGAUUUAGAUUAAGUCAGUGCACAGUGGGGUCAAAUGGUCUAGCAGAGACACUCAAAGCUCAUCAUAUAAACCACACCAAACCAAACCAAUGCUAGAGCUUGGUAAAUAGGCAAGCAUAAUGAGGUAGCCGUGCUGGUGCAAAUGGUAGCAGCUCCAUCUUCCAGGCAGUAACCACCACUAACCACCACACCACCACCACUUCUCACUCUCUCGGUAGGCAGCGCCUGCACCAGGGCAGAAUAGAAAAAUCAGCACAUCACUCACCUUUACCACAAAGUUAAUUAUGCUUCUCGCAUGCUGCAUCUGCAGCCAGACAGCAGAUUACGGGCAGCAGAAACCAGGAAUAAUCACACACCAGGUGGCACGAGUUCAGCAUCACCAUUCAGGCAUUCACCCUUGCUUAUUGCAGUUCAGAGCCUGGGCGGCACUGCUCGCCCACGCUGUUGCCUUGUCUCCUCCGCAGCUGCUUUGGAUUCCAUAACCUGCGUAGGUAGGUGCAUAGGCCACACGUGUAACUUUU
rnacentral:lncRNA from 1 species